UUCGACGAGCAGUCGAGUAUCGGCCUCUCACCGUGCAAAACGUUUCGUCUCUUUUACGUUCUCGAUCCCGGCCACGUUUUCUUUCGCCUCGGAUCGGUGCCUCCCGAAUGAGAAACGAAUUUAAUCGGACAGUUCGAGAGCAACCGAAUUAAAGAGAGAGAAAGAAAAGGAAAGGGAGAGAGAAAGAGAGAAAGAGAGAAAUAGAAAAGAAAGAAAAGUAAAGUAAAGAGAUAACGAACGAAAGAAGGAAAAAAAUUCAAUUCUUUUUGAAUCGUUAUGUACGAUCGAUAAUUAUUAAUCACGUGACGUGAAUUACAUUCUUCAAAAAGUUAUUAACGAUUUUAACAAGUGGCUUGAAUUAAAAUAUAUAUAUAUAUAUAUAUAUAUAUAUAUAUAUACACACAUAUAUAUAUAUAAAUAUGUAUAUGUUACGAAGAAACUUUACAAUGGAUCGAUAAGAAACAAAAAAAAAAGGAAAAGGAAACAGCAGCACAGCAGUGAUAUGAAGGAACAUUUUCGAAAAUGAUGAGGAGGAGCGAUACGAGUAAAUACGACGUCUCCGAGGUCGCAGGAGUAACAAUUUUGCUCCUCGUCGCAUUGACUCCUGCUCUUUGCUCCGCCGGAAUCCUGGACCCUUUUCAAUGGGCAAGAAGCGAUCGAAUCGAAGUGAACAUACCAUGGUUACCAUUCGAGAACGAAACAAGGUGUUACGAUGAAUUAGGCUGUUUAAACAUAACCAGAAGUUGGUAUCACUUGAUGCAUCGACCACUCAACGUAUUCCCUUUACCGAGAGAGGUAAUCAACACCAGCUUUAUUCUUUACACCAAUGACAAUCCAACCGUGGGUCACGUAUUGAUGGUAGCCAAGGACAAGUCUAUCAAAUAUUCCAAUUUUGAUCCUAAACGAAAGACUAAGUUCAUCAUUCAUGGUUUCAUUGAUACACCACUUAGCAGUUGGGUAAAGGAAAUGAGGAACGAAUUGUUAAAACACGGAGAUUACAAUGUAAUUGUGGUCGAUUGGGCUGGUGGUAGUCUACCACUUUAUACUCAAGCUACUGCCAAUACCAGAUUAGUAGGCUUAGAAAUAGCUCAUCUUAUAAAACACUUGCAGACCAACUACGGAUUGGAUCCAAACGAUAUUCAUCUGAUAGGUCACAGUCUUGGUGCCCAUACAGCUGGUUAUGCUGGUGAAAAAUUACGUGGUAACAUCGGUCGAAUAACAGGCUUAGAUCCAGCGGAACCAUAUUUUCAGGGAAUGCCAAGUCACGUUCGUUUGGAUUAUACCGAUGCCCAACUGGUCGACGUUAUUCAUACGGAUGGAAAGAGUAUAUUUUUCUUAGGGCUUCCAGGUUAUGGGAUGAGCCAAGCUUGUGGACAUUUGGACUUUUAUCCGAACAAUGGAAAAGAACAACCAGGUUGUACGGACCUAAGUGAGACAACACCAUCUUUACCAUUGACUCUAAUACGUGAAGGUUUCGAUGAAGCAUCACGGGUCCUGGUGGCUUGCAAUCAUGUGCGUGCCAUAAAGCUCUUCACCGAGAGCAUCAAUUCGAAGUGUCAAUAUAUAGCUCACGAAUGUUCGAGUUAUACUACAUUCUUGAAAGGAGAGUGUUUUUCCUGCAAGGGCAACGAUAGUCUAAACUGUGCGAUAAUGGGCUAUCACGCUGAUGCUAGUCCAGCUUUGCUAAAACGUAGAGCUAUUAAACAGGAUGUCUCUUCGUUGCUAGGAUCUAAAUUUUUUUUUAACACCGGCAAGGAGGAUCCUUAUUGCAGAAGACACUAUAGGAUAACAAUCAAUCUAGCUAGACCACCAACUGCUGAAAGUUGGGUUCAAGGUUUCAUGAAGGUCACUCUUCAUGCUGACAACGGACUGAUACGUAAUAUGGAUCUCACGCCUAGUGGUUAUAUGAGACUAGAACAUGGCUCGAGCGUACGAAUGGUAGUUGCUCAUCCAUCAGGUUCGAUUGGCAAGAUCAGACGUGUCGAGUUAUCUUGGUCUUAUGAUAUGGACGUGCUUCAACCGCGAUCACUAUGCUUUUUUUGGUGUAACGAUCGACUAUACGUAAACAGUGUUAAUGUUGACGUUAUGGAAUUACCAGGAAGAGGAAAAAGAGAGACCGAUCUCUCCAGCAAGUUAUGUUCAGCGAAUAGGCAGCAAUACACAGAAAUUGCCAGUGGUUCGGCAGCUUCGUUCGUUGACAAUUGUUGAUGAUCAAUGAAUUCAAUUAAAUCUUCGCGCAUGGAUGGGGACUGAUAAUAAUAUUCAUGUAUGUACAUGAACAGUGAUAUAAAUCCAGAUUUCCUACUCUACCCUCGCGUUGUGUAUCUGGGAAAGUCUUUUUCUUGAAGAGAGGGGUACUAGUUGAGAGAGACAAUCCCAAUGGUGGUGGUUCGCCCAAUGGUGAAGACUGAGCGUGUGCCGGAGGAGGCUGGACCGUAGAACGAUGAUGAUGACGAUGCGGUGAGUCUAACAAUCGAUACCCUGUUGAUUCUAAAGACGUACGACUAUGGGAGACAGAACUAUCACUGGAUCGACCAGAAUCUUGCGAAUGAUUAUGUUGUCGUCUAGUCGCCGGUACUUCGUGAUGUCUAUGGUGUCGAUUAUUGUGGUGAUGAUGAUGAUGAUGAUGAUGUCGUCUCGAGGAAGGAGAUGGAGACGGCGGAGAUGUCUGCAUAUCCACACCGAUACCAGAUGUUCGAGAUUUACUUGCAUUACCCACUUGCUAUCGAACAAAAAUGAUGUAUAAAAUUGAUAUACGAAGCACAUUAAACAGAUAUCUUUGUGCAAAUAAUAAUCUUACCAGUGUAACAGAUAAAUUAGGAUUGUCUUGAUGAUUGAAACGCAUCGAACGACUAACAGGUGUUUGAGUCUGCGUAGACACAGACUCUUUCUUUCUUGAUUCUGCAUUUUUUUGGACAUCACCUCCGCUACUACCAGCCGGCUCUGUGUUCUGUUUUAACGUCUACAAUUUCCCGGUUUUUAUAGAUUGAAAAACUUGUAAAAAUGUAAAGAAGUAUAAAGCGAAUAAAAUUAUUUACCUGAAGCUUCGCUAAAGGGAUAAUGUCGCAAUCGGUUGGGCGGUGCCAAACAGUUUUCUGAGAUGUGGCAUUAUAAUAGUAAAAUCUUGAAGUAUUCUGAUCAAAUAAUUCCCACCAUUGAUUAUUAUCCGUCUUCUUCCUAUAAAUUAUUCAUAAGUGUGAACUAAUGAAUGAUUCAUAACUUCAAAAUGGUUAUAUUGGUUUAACGAUAUAAAAACUUAUGAUCUCUUACACAGGUACGCCAGGUGGUGGAUCCCAUACGCAUUCUCCAGUAGUAAGAUUAGCAUACAUAUGCUCCUUUGUACGUGGUUCUAUGAUUUCAACCCAUUCCAUCCUACUGUAAUUGUUUGCAAUUAAGACAUUAGAUAUAAGAUGCAUAUGACAUAGAUUUUUUGCAUGCAUAUAUCGAUUUAUAUUCUAAAAGGAAUAUAAAUCAAUUAUAAAUAUAACCAAAUUAACCAAAGUAAUUCAAACUAAAGUAAAUACAUUAAAUGGCAAGUAGAUACAAGUAGAUAUAAGUAACCAACUCAUUGCCAGAGACACAUAGACAUAAUCCAUUAGUCACUUUUUUCCAGAAAUAAAAGACAUGAUAAAAAUACAAAUAUAAUAAAAAAAAAAGAAAGAAAAAGAGAAAAGUAAAAAAAAAAAAAAAGACACAAGAAAGAACACUCGACCCCUAUUGUUAAGAUCAUAAAUUGAUGGGAAUGCUGGUGGCAUUACAAGCAACUGCCUGAUGUCAUGUUAUCCGUUUAAUUGGUUAAAAUAGGCCGCGGAGAGUCAUUCGCGCGUAGAUCGUGUGCGUAUAGUCGCGAAAAAAGAAAAAUGAAAGCGCGAAAUCGUGAAAGAAGGAAAAAAGAAAAAAAAGGAAAGAUAACGCAGUGCGCACAGAAAGGGAACGAGAACGAAGGCAUAAAAAUGACAAUGUAAAACACAAUAAGGAAAUUGCAAGGGACCCGCCCCAAUAUCUUCUAGAAUCGUGAGAAACGUGAUAACUAAGUCCCAUCUAAAAACACGAAAAACCUGUCUACAGUGAAAACUGGGACGGGUCAGUGGUAAAAAUUCACUAUCGAUCUGCAAACCAUUCGGCCAAAAGCAUACAUACAUUAAAUCGUUAUGCGACUAUCGCGUUUACGACUUUAAUCAUAAAGAAAAUUGAUUUAUUUUACCUGUCGGAUGCCAUUUCGAACUAUUCUUCUUAAAUUCGUGCACUGAACAGUAUAACUUAACGUCACUACCUGACACUUCAUAAGAACAACAAUGACACUUCGAUGUUGCAACGUCCCAUUUCCACGAGCACGAGCGACGCACUCCCUUCAUGGCAGCCUAGCGCGGCCAUCUUUAUCCUUGCAAUCAAGCCAAACUUCUCUCUACCUUAUUUUAGAUAAGGCGUGUACUCUUACAUACAUUUUUAUUUCGAUAUUACUUAACGUACGCCUUUAGAAUAAUAAUUUUUUAUAUAUAUAUAUACAUAUAUAUAUAUUAUAUAUAUUUUUUUUUUAUUAUUUUUUGUUGAUCGACUCAAAUCAAAAAUUAUUACUAAUUAAAGUAUACAAACUUAUCGUUCAGAAUAGAUUACAUAUCGUCAUUUUCCGAAUAACAAUGUGAAUAACUUUUCACUUAUAUAUAUAUGUGUAUGUGUACGUAUAUAUAGAUAGAUAGAUAGAUAGACAUAUAUAUACACGUAUAUAUUAGACAAUUUUUCUAAAACUUAUUUAGAAAGUUUACUACUAUUCAUUGUGUAUUAUAUUCCGUGAGAAUAAUAUUUAAUAAUCAACAUCAUAUUGUCUGUAAUAAUUUAUUACAAACGUCAUCUUCGGACGUGCUAUUAUGCGAAUACCGAAUUUGGUAUAGGUUAGAAAGACUGACACCAUAUUUUCUCUGAUAUAGAUACCACACUAAUAAAAAUGAAAUGGCAUAUCACUGCAAGAAUUAA